rnacentral:rRNA from 1 species
UACGUAGGGGGCUAGCGUUGUCCGGAAUCAUUGGGCGUAAAGAGCGUGUAGGCGGCCCGGUAAGUCCGCUGUAAAAGUCAAAGGCUCAACCUUUGAAUGUCAGUGGAUACUGCCGGGCUAGAGUCCGGAAGAGGCGAGUGGAACUCCUGGUGUAGCGGUGGAAUGCGCAGAUAUCAGGAAGAACACCAACGGCGAAGGCAGAUCUCUGGGCCGUAACUGACGCUGAGGAGCGAAAGCAUGGGGAGCGAACAGG